ensembl:lncRNA
UUUAAAUAUUAUUUUAUUUCAGCAUUUAAUGAAGCAGCUAAUGAUAGAGAAUAAGAAAUCUUAAGGCAUAUGAAUUUAAAUGUUGGCUAUAAAACAAGAGAAAAUAUUUAGGCAUAAAAAAACCAUGAGGGUAAAUUUCUUAUUCUUCUCUUUGAGCUUUAAAAUGUAAGGCAGUUUGAAUACCAUUUCUUGGGGUUUUAGGGGACCCCAAUAAAACCACCUCUUUUAUAAGGAUAGACUAAGAGAUCAGCUAGAUGGACAGCAAAAUGCAGCUUCAUUACUAAUAAAAAUCUGGUCUGAAGAAUGCACUUAGACAUGCAGCCAAAGUCACCUUCCUAACACUUGGCUAUGACGGCCACACUUACUCUUCCUGGCGUGAGCACGUGUGACAACGCACAACUCCCUCCUGAUCAGGACGUUUGCAACACGAUAGAUAGACCUGAAGGCAGGGCCCUUGGAUAGAUGGCUCCAGAAGGAGAGAGAAAGAGGACAAGGCUGAAGUAAGCUUUCUCAGUGACUUCUCCCACAUCCACCAAUGAGAUCACCACCAGAUUCUUCUCCAACAGGGAGGGAUAAUUACACAGGAAGUUGCAAAUCAGAGACUCAUCUAUUAUUGGCGCGCACGCUGCUGUGAAUUGCCGUUGGUGCGUUGAGGGCCCAGCCUCAGGGAGGAGAGAGGAAACGCGGCGGCGCUGGCCCUGACGAGCAGAGGCCCGCACGUUGGUGGGCCCUCCGCCUCUGCGGAAGGCGGCUCCGCUGCCACGCGCUGGGCAGGCAGCAGGCGGGGGGCGUCUGCUCCGUCCGUCGUCUCCCUCGAGCUUGGGAGGCAUUGGACCAGGCGCCAGGGUGGGGCAUCUAAAGACAGCAGAUCCCGUUCUCUGCCCUCAGGAGCUGGGAAUUUGACGGAGAGGGAGACCUCGCUCCGCAGACUGGUAAGAGUGGCCCUAAAGGCAGGGCCGUGAGAUGGCGGGAUCCGCUGCCACGAGGAGUAUCAGGAAAAGAUUUCCACAAGAGGUGACCUGAGUUCAUGUUGGCAGCAAAGGUGGGGUUCAGCAGGGAGAGUUGGGGAGAAGAGAAUUCUAAUUCUACUGGCUCAUGAAGAGUCUAAUGAAAGUUCCUACUCUUUAGAAACCAUCUCUUUCUUUUAUUUCUCUUUAUGAUCAGCCUCUCCCCAGUUUAGAACUGUUCUCGUCCAUUGAUCAGACCUUUCACUAAUCCCAAUAGGAAGGAAGUUACCGGCCGGGUUCAAGCAGCAGGGCUGUCCCUCCCUCACAUCCCCCCAACUGGGCGUCUCUCAUGCUCUGCCCUGAAAAACACAAAGAGACUUCAUUUCAGUGAAUUUCUUUGUUCUGCAGUUUACCAUAAGUUUAUGAGACUGGGUUUUACAAAUUCAAUUUUAAUCAGAUAUUAUUUUUAUCCUAAACAUACUCCAAAUACCACUAAUAAAGCUUUCACCAGUUUAGAAACCGCCUAUAACUCAUAGGUGUAAUUGGGUCUAAAAAGAUGCUAAGAUUUCACACGUCCCUGAUCAACACUUGUAAUUUUAUGUUCUAUGCCUCUAGUCCCCGGAGAGUGGUCAGCUGGACAUUCCCUAGUAUAAGCUGUGGUAUGUUGAGGACAUAGCAGGUUAAAAAGUAAUAACUUUUGAUUUGGCCACAGCAGAAUAAAAUGUGGCUGGUGGACCACUGCCACCAUUGUUGGGCAUAUGACAGAUGGUGCUUUCAGGCUGCAGAUAGGCAUGUACAGAGGAACUGUUCUGCCUGAGUUUCAUUUGACUUUCCUGUGGUUGUCGAAAUGAGUUUCUUUCAAUCUUUGUGUCAGUGGAAGUUGCUUUGCGUGGAACUUGAGUGAUAAACCUGUCAAAUGCGGCGAAGUUUGUGAUUCUGUUGGGCCCUAUCAUAAAAAUCAGUUUUGAAACCUGCCAAACUUAAUGAAAUUGGCUGAUUCUGGGGCUAGGGCUUACUGCAUAGAUUUGGAUAAUGCCUGCACAUAUGUUUAAAAAAACCUCUUGUUUCAAAUAUGUUUGUGUUUAAGACUCCUUCAGUAAAGGAUUUGUAACAGUAAAUAAAUACAAUGGAAAACAAGUUUAAACAAAUGUUUUAAAUUUAUUUAUCCACUUUAGUGUUUGAAAUACUCUAUUCUCCACCCAAAGUUACAUUUUCUUCUACCACAAUCUCUUCUUUUUAAAUCCAAAUGUUCUUAACAUUAAUUUAGAAGAUUUGUAAAGCUAGGCCAAGGAAGAUGAGACAAAAACUAUAAAAUCCAGUUAGAAAGGGUAAGGCAAUGAGCCAAAUUGGAAGCACUGCCAGCAUGCAGGACGAUGUGGGAAUACUGGACAAAGACACUGCUUUGGAGAUGCAACAGACUAAAGUGAUGGCAUCUUCCUGUUGAGCCAGAAGGAGGCACAAUAUUGUCCUGGCCUUGGGUAGCUUACAUUUAUCUGAGGAGAAAUGGCCAGUUCAGAUGAAAAUAAAUGAUAACGCACAAUAGCAGGCGCUGGAGUGGGGCGGGGGGCAGGCGUACAACAUCGAGGGCUCGUGUGGUUGGAAAUGGAUUAUGAAGAGGGUGCGGUUUAAUUUGAGUCUUCCUCCCUUUCUCUCAAUUUUUAUUUUUAAAUUAUGAAAUAUUGCAAGUGUGGGAAUUGAAGAGACUAUAGUGCUUAAGCAGAACAGAUAUUAUCUCAGAAUAGCUACCAUUUAUUAAAUACCAUGUGUUAGGUGUUGUGGCCAAGUGAUUGAUGUGCAUUAUUUUACUCAAUCUUUGCAGUUUUUCUAUAACUUAAAUACUAUUUUCUCACUGAAUUAUGGAUGACAACUUUAGAGGUUAAACAAGGUGCCCAAAGUCCCAGAGCUACUACAUGGCAAAGCCUGGACUCGAAGCAAAACCUAUCGGAUUCCAAAGCCCAGACUCUAAGCCGUGCAGUUGGUGCCGGCACAUGGCUGAUGGUCAGUUGUCUGCGUGUGGUAAUAAGACAGCAGAGGGUAUGGUACCGAGGAUUUCAUUCCUAACGUGAAGCAUGUGUUAGUUGCGAAAGGAAUUCCCCAAAUGGUAAUUUUGAAAACUAUUUAACAAACAUGGGAGAAUGUUUAUCAUAU